rnacentral:rRNA from 1 species
AUACGUAGGUGACAAGCGUUAUCCGGAUUUACUGGGCGUAAAGGGCGUGUAGGCGGUCUUGCAAGUCAGAAGUGAAAUUCCUGAGCUCAACUCGGGCGCUGAUCUUGAAACUGCAGGACUUGAGUGCUGGAGGGGAUAGCGGAAUUCCUAGUGGAGUGGUAAAAUGCGCAGAUAUUAGGAAGAACACCGGUGGUGAAGGCGGCUAUCUGGACAGUAACUGACGCUGAGGCGCGAAAGCGUGGGGAGCAAACAGGAUUAGAUCCCCUGGUAGUCCACGCCGUAAACGAUGAAUACUAGGUGUAGGGGGUAUCGACUCCCUCUGUGCCGCAGUUAACACAAUAAGUAUUCCGCCUGGGGAGUACGGCCGCAAGGUUGACACUCAAAUGAAUUGACGGGG